rnacentral:rRNA from 1 species
GAUGAACGCUAGCGGCAGGCCUAACACAUGCAAGUCGAACGGUAAGGCCCAGCUUGCUGGGUACACGAGUGGCGCACGGGUGAGUAACGCGUAUGCAACCUGCCUCGAACAGGAGGAUAGCCCCGAGAAAUUGGGAUUAAUACUCCAUAACACCAAUUGGUCGCAUGGCCAUAUGGUUAAAGCCCCGGCGGUUCGAGAUGGGCAUGCGUGACAUUAGUUUGUUGGUGAGGUAACGGCUCACCAAGACAGCGAUGUCUAGGGGUUCUGAGAGGACAGUCCCCCACACUGGUACUGAGACACGGACCAG